ensembl:lncRNA
UUUACAGGUGGGCAAGGGUUUUUAUUCUCAGUGCAUGGUGUUGGUUUCUGUUCAUCAGCAGAAAGCUUUAUUGGUUCCAAAAAGUUACACCCUUUAAAACUCCCUUUCUUCCCGUGUCAGUUGGAGAACACAUUUGUAGUACAGAUUUGUCGGUUUAUAGCAUCCCCCCCUCCCAAGAGCCAUAUAAAUACAUGCAAAACAUUAUACAUAGAGCUUAAAUAAUAUCAAAUGCAAAUACAGAUUGGGUGCACUGUUCAGCUGAGCUGCAAACUACGGCCACACACGCUAGGAUACACAUUGCUUUGAUAUCGUAAUGUCUGACAUGUAGACCGCGAAAGUCAAUUUUCUUUUUUUUUUCCUUUUAGUUUUGUACAAAAAUACCAGUGCUCAUUAUACCAGUUGCUGAGAAGAACUCAAAAUUCCUAUCUGCAUGCCCAUUAGAAAAGAUGGCGUAGAGCGAUUUGUCAGCACAUAUGUGGCAUAUUUAUUUACAUAUGGCAUAUAUACAUAUGGGGAGAAACUCUGGGCCAAAGGCCCAUUCAGCUGCAGGGGUCUCACCUCCCAUCACCUCUCCCAACCAAGAAGAAAGGGGGCAGCAGGCAGAACUGUAGACCUGGGAAGGCAAAAGUUCUGGCUCUCAGCUAAAUGGAAGGGAGGGAGAGGAUCUGGUCUAUUCUGAGGAGGAGGCUGGAAUGGCUUUAGAACAGCAGGCAUUGCAAGGGCCCACCCCUACCAGUGCCAUGGGGUGGACCCUAGAUGCAGAAAGUGAUUGAAUGUGCAGAUUGGGAUGGUGCCACAGGUAGCUUCAAUUGUAAGGCAAGGGGGAUGGGGAGAAAGAGGAGGAUCUGGGAGAGGAUUCUGGCACACUCAACUUCCCUAGGGCUUUCAGCAGUGAGGUAACCCCUCGGAUUGAUCUUUGAAACUCUCCCCUAAAGCUUGAAGGCAAAAAGAAAUCCAACCCUGGGGAACCCACAAGUGCCCAGAAGGCUUCUAGCUGGUCUCUCCUACAACUUUUGGGAUGGGAAAACUGCCACAGAGGAUAUCGUAGAACUGUUGAGAAGGACCUAGUCCUGAGACUGUCAGACAGAGCUAGAAGUAACCAUUGCUGUUACAUUGAUCUUUUCCAGUUUGGAGCUCUGGCCCCCACCUGCUGUAUCAGACAAAAACAGCAGGAUGUUACAACUCAGAGUCAUACACAAAACCUCACUAGUGGCAUCUCUCCAGGGGGAGGGGAAAGGGGAAAACAUAAAGAAAUGCGGACCCCACGUCAGAGUACCCUUGCUGACUAGGAGAGACCAGCCAUCAUUGAUACUACUCUGUUUGCUAAUUCCUCAAGAAACAGAAACCCAACUGAUCCUUGCUCCUGAGUACCAACAAGUCUGCUCUCCUCCAAGGCAGCAUCCAUCCAUGGCCUGACAGACAGCUAAGGAGCCUCUUUGUGGGUGUUUCCCUCACUACCUGCAGGUUUUUACCCGUUUGUCCAGGUUUAUCAAAAGAGGGCUCUAGGAUAUAUUCUCUUCCUCCCAUCAGACCUCUUUCAAAUCCGGAGCACCAUUUAGGGGAAAGUGUCAUUAACUUAUAUCAUAUUUACUCACUGCCACCUGGAUUACUGAAACUGAAUAGACAAGAACAUAUAAAAACAUAUGCACAGAAACACUUGAACUCACUCAAUUCCAUAUCAACAAAAUUUAUAUUAAAAAAAAGUCUAGAACCCAACAAUUUUUUUCCCCUAAAUAUAAAGAUGGCCGUUUGGAAAAAGGAAGUAUGGUAUAUUGGUUGCUGUCGUUGUUUUAACCAGUUACAAACGUACUGAGUCACCUGUCAUGCCAAACAGCUGGUGGUGUGCUCCUCUCCACGGCGUGGCAUGGUGGCACAUUAUUUGAAAUUCUUUAAACAAUAUAUAUAUAUACAUAUAUGGCUGACUCGUAAAUGUCAGUUUCUGAGCUAAAGAAAACUAUAUUUUUUGCAUAAUAUUUCUAUAUUUUCUCUCUUACUAUGGAAAUUACUGAAAACACACACACACACACACACACACACACACACACACACAUAAACAUGUUGACUUUUGAAAAAGUAGACACAAGCCCUCAGGAGUAACCUGUCAGGCACCACAAGAGUCUUUUGGGAGCAAGGAUGGUAAAAUGGCCUUUGAAACUUGUUAUUGGCUUGCUUUAAAAAAAAAUGAUCUGAGGUAAUAAAAGAGCUGACAGAAUCAAAUCUUCUAAUGUACUUAAAUAUAGUUGAACAGCUAACACCUCGAGGGAGAUGCCCCCCCCCCCCCCAUGAGGGAAGAUUGCUGAAGUAUGUAAGCCUUACAAAAUCCGAAUCCAAACCUUCUCUCUACUUCCUAUAAUGAUGGGCUGUGCUGGAACGGGUGUGAAAUGGUGUUUGUUCCUUCGCUCACCCUCCCCUGGCAGCUUGGGUGAAAGGUGGGGUGGGAGGAAGAUUGCUAGAAAAAAGACUACAGGUGGUCAGGCUCAUUUUACCGUUCUUUCCCAAGUGGAAAUCUGGCUGUUUUCAUGAGCCUCACUCGCCCUCUUAUUCUCAUCACCCUAGAAAGAGGGAGGCAGGCUUCACUAACCCAACAGUGGAUGGGACUUGGGGACACCGACUCGAUCCACUGCACAAACAUGCUUAAAUCAGCCAGCCGAGAUACACAUGGAGCACCUGUGCUUCCUCCUCAUCCCAGUAAGGCAAAGUCCCUUUUGGUGAAGUUCCCGGCUCCCGAGAGGCUGCUGGGCAGAGGGUGCUCUGGGCAGUGUUCAGGGCAGAAAGGCACAGACUUUCCCAGGCAGCAGUGGAGACAGACCCUGGAGGAGGGUAUGUGAAGACAGAGAGGUUGGGGGUGGGGGCAGGAAGCUUUCCAGGGAGGGCCUUUAGCCCCUUGACUCAGCAUGCUGUUUGGGCGCCUCCUCUCUUCAACGUUAGAAUGUUUGCAAAAGUUGGGGGUGGGGGCAGGAAGCUUUCCAGGGAGGGCCUUUAGCCCCUUGACUCAGCAUGCUGUUUGGGCGCCUCCUCUCUUCAACGUUAGAAUGUUUGCAAAAGUUGGGGACCUCCUUAGAGACGGAAAAUGUUGUGGGACACAACAAAGUGUAGCUCCUGAAGGACUGGCGCUUUAGUCCUUCCCAAGGGUUCUUAACAUUCAUCCUCGCCUCCCACGACAGAAGGAAGCUCCUGCUCUGGGAGAGCCUUGGCAAACAAAUGAAACCCUUGAAAGUAGUCUGCUUCAGUGACUUCUGGUCCUAGGCCUGCCCCAUGUUGAUCCUGAAGCUCCUCGAGCAGCUGGAAGGCAGGGUCAUGGCCCCCUCACUCUUUGCUACCACCCCAGGCAAGAAGGAAGCUCAGGCCUAUGGUCAUGGCUGAUUUCCCUGGCACUUAAAAACCCCUAUCCACCCAAGAAGACAUUCAGAAGUUGGUGCUGACCUGGUAAGAAUAGGGAAAUAUUUCACUAGCUCAUUUGCUCCAAAAAGACCAUUUUAGAAAAGAAAUCUGCCUGCCUCUGGAACAAAAUGAAAGGUUCUACUGGGGCCAGUAAGGGUCAAAUUGACUCAGUUUGGCCAUGCCCUUUCCAUUCUUGUAAUUACCACGACAUAAAGAGAGUGGGAAGAGUGGAUGAAAGGGAAGAUGGUAAGGGGCAGGUGAGAUCCAAAGAACCCUGGGGGACGUCAGACUGAAGGGCAGAAAGAGCUAGAGGCCUUAGUGUGCACAUUUUCAAAAUAGGAAAGAACAUUUUAAGGAUAGUCACUCUACUGAAACGCGAACAUGGGGCGUUUGUCUCUCACCGAGCCCACGACUUAGCUUGUGAAAUCUCCAAGUCAGAAGGGGGUGGUGGCAUGUGUGGGGGAUGCUGGGGAGACUUUGGGUUGGGCGACGCCAAGAGGAUUGUCACUACUUCUUUAAAAUGACAACUGGUACGCCUGGGGAGCGGAGCUACUGUUACCUGCCCAAGGUCUGACCGAAUCCAUGUAGGUCUGUGCUUCUUCAUGGUCAGGUGGGGGUUCUCACAUGCUUAGGAGCAGCUGAUGAAACAAUGACAAGUCCCACCAUCACAUACAGAUAGGACAGAUGAAGAGAAAAAGGGGAGAGCAGGGACGGUACUCAGAGGAUGGACGUUCAGACCGGUGUCUCCUGGCUUUGUAGAGGGCUGUUGGGAUGGGAGGCAACGAUUUGCACUUGGUGGCAGUCCACGGCAUUGUUAUUCGUGUUGUUCUGUGAAACAGUUUCAGCAUCCGACAGGCGCUUGGUAAUCCGCGACUUAGAAGCCAACGAAGGACUUUCCUCUUGAUUCAGGAAGGACUGUGACAUUUCAUCGUCUGCGGCGUACUCAGGUUGGGUCAUGAAGCUGUGGAUGGAGACCUGGUUCUUGGAUUUAUGAAUGACGUCUCGGAAACUAUGAAAUACUUUGACCACUCUGAUCUAUAACCAGGAGAAACAAGAAAGAGGAUGAGAAGACGGGGGUGGGGGUGAGAA